GAUGAACGCUGGCGGCGUGCUUAACACAUGCAAGUCGAACGGAAAGGCUCCUGCUUGCAGGGGUACUCGAGUGGCGAACGGGUGAGUAACACGUGGGUGAUCUGCCCUGCACUUCGGGAUAAGCCUGGGAAACUGGGUCUAAUACCGGAUAGGACGAUGGUUUGGAUGCCAUUGUGGAAAGUUUUUCGGUGUGGGAUGAGCUCGCGGCCUAUCAGCUUGUUGGUGGGGUAAUGGCCUACCAAGGCGUCGACGGGUGGCCGGCCUGAGAGGGUGUACGGCCACAUUGGGACUGAGAUACGGCCCAGACUCCUACGGGAGGCAGCAGUGGGGAAUAUUGCACAAUGGGCGCAAGCCUGAUGCAGCGACGCCGCGUGGGGGAUGACGGCCUUCGGGUUGUAAACUCCUUUCGCUAGGGACGAAGCGCAAGUGACGGUACCUGGAGAAGAAGCACCGGCUAACUACGUG
rnacentral:rRNA from 1 species